AGUAUUACAGCAUAUUUCAAGAUGCCUCUGAUUGAAACUGCUCUUGUAUGGCAUUCUUAAGAGAAUACUCAGGAUUGUCAAUAAUGAACUCAAUUUUAUAAAGAAUCCUUUGCACAAUCAUCACCAGAUGCUCCAGAACAGGAUCAACCUUCGUUAUCAACUUGUUGAAUCUUCCUAAGUGACUUCCUGUGAUGCAGCCUUAAGAUCUUGCGACAAACACUGAAGGAUUGAAGCUAAGUACGUCCUCAUAUUCCAGUCUGCUCUGCCCCUUCAUCACCAUUGCAUCUCCAGUUCAGUUUUUUAUCCAGGCUAUACUGCAGUGCCUCCAGAGCAGCAGUGGAUUCUUUGUCAGAUUGUACUACAAGCAGCUCACAGGCAAAUAUUUGGAAUCACCUUGAAUGCCCAUAACCCUGUGGAUUAAAGAUGAGGCUGAUGGAGGAGAUGUGUAAGUGGCUUAGAGACCACUGAAGAUCUUGUGUGAGAAUAA